rnacentral:misc_RNA from 1 species
GGCCUGGCGGCACUUGUUGAGCGGUAUCAGCAGAUGAGCGCACUGGUCUCUGUAGGAGAUGGGCACCCUGGCCUCCACCAUCUCAGCCUGCGUUGCUAUCAUUGUCUUCGAUGAUCCCUCGACUUCCAUGAUUGGCUUGCAAAAUCGUUGCUGCUCUUUUCUCGCGUUCCAAAAGGCAGAAUUUCAGCUUAACUCUUCACUCUCUAUAGGCUAAUCUAAUCGUUUGCGUUAUUUGGC